ensembl:lncRNA
AUGACAACUGGGUUUGUAAUGGUGCUGUCGCUGAGCCGCGACACAGCGAGCCAUGGGCCAUUGGUGUCUCCCGACCACUCCUGUCUCAGCCUCCAGUAUUUAUGCUGUAGUAGUUUGUGUGUCGGGGUGCUAUCCGUUGUCCUGUGUGAAUUUAAGUAUGCUCUCUCUUUUUCUCGCUCUCGGGGGACCUGAGCCCUAGGACCAUGCCUCAGGACUACCUGGACUGAUGACUCCUUGCUGUCCCCAGUCCACCUGGCCAUGCUGCUGCUCCAGUUUAAACUGUUUGACCUGCGGCUAUGGAAUCCUGACCUGUUCACCGGACGUGCUACCUGUCCCAGACCUGCUGUUUUCAACUGACAUUUACUCCUGAGAAGGGAGAGAAAUGGGAAGGAGUGUACACAAGACGGCCACACAGGAGAGGACCACUCUGCUCGCCAGCCGGCUCUACGGAGGAUUAUCAGGCUUAAGUGUACCGGACGCAGAGAAACACGGCCAAACACAGCGGUGACAGACUCGCAUUGGGAACUGGUGGACCCCGAUAUGAUGCCUGACGGACUGGAAUCACUGAUCCAUGACGACGGUGACCUGGAACCAUCCUCGGUGUGGCACUGCUGAAAACACAAGCAUAAAACCGUGACACGACGAUCACAUUAUUCAGUCUGACCUGUGUUCAAACUACAUUGACCAAUCAAGCAUGACUAUUACAACAAAAAACAAACAAACAUUAUAACCACAUAAUGAGGGACAAAUCCCGUACCAGCACACUAGACUCUAACCCUGUGGUGUAGUAGUGGUCCAUUAUGCAAAUAGCCUAACAUGAAUCAUGCCCCGGGUACUCAGAACGCUUCAUUGUGGUUAGACAUAAUCACAGGGGGCUUAUAAGACACAUUGAGCCUUUCAGAGAGCAGAGGAAGCUCUCUCCUCCAUCAUAAAGAGGAGAUGAAUAGUCUAUCGCGUGGAGCACCUGCAUCCAUUCCACUGCACCCCGGCACUCGCAGUGCUGCGUUUAC